rnacentral:tRNA from 1 species
GAAAUAACUUAAAUAGAACUUCUAAUUCUAUAAUCAAUAUAAAUAUAUUAUUAUUUCU